rnacentral:rRNA from 1 species
GACGAACGCUGGCGGCGUGCUUAUCACAUGCAAGUCGAACGGAAAGGCCCUGCUUUUGUGGGGUGCUCGAGUGGCGAACGGGUGAGUAACACGUGAGUAACCUGCCCUUGACUUUGGGAUAACUUCAGGAAACUGGGGCUAAUACCGGAUAGGAGCUCCUGCUGCAUGGUGGGGGUUGGAAAGUUUCGGCGGUUGGGGAUGGACUCGCGGCUUAUCAGCUUGUUGGUGGGGUAGUGGCUUACCAAGGCUUUGACGGGUAGCCGGCCUGAGAGGGUGACCGGCCACAUUGGGACUGAGAUACGGCCCAGACUCCUACGGGAGGCAGCAGUGGGGAAUAUUGCACAAUGGGCGGAAGCCUGAUGCAGCAACGCCGCGUGCGGGAUGACGGCCUUCGGGUUGUAAACCGCUUUCGCCUGUGACGAAGCGUGAGUGACGGUAAUGGGUAAAGAAGCACCGGCUAACUACGUG